ACUCAUCCCCAAUGUGUGUAGUUGUGGUUUUUCAGUCUUGAUGCUGUGUCUCACAAUUUAUUCUACUGAUGAUGGACAUGUGAGUUGUUUCUGGUUUUUGCAUGGAUGUUUUAUAUGUGUUUCUUGGUGAAUAUACAUUUCUCUAUUUAUAUUCACAAGAAUAUAUACCAAGAGCCCUAAUUUGUUUAGAACUGUAAUGUGCACAGUUAAAACAACUUGUCCUCCCAGGACCUUUUGCAGUUAGGGUUGGUCGUGUGACAUGGUCCUGCGAAGAAGAUACGGAUAGAAGUCUGUGGGCCACCAGUGGAUUGAAUGAUGCCCAUAUGCACUGAGAAGGGCCAUGUGUUUACUCGGUCUACCAAUUCAAAUGUUAAUCUCAUCCAAAAACACCCUCACAGAUACGUUUGGAAUGAUGUUUAACCAAAUAUUUGGGUACCGUCUUCCCCAGUGAAGUUGACACAAAAUUAACCAUCACAGCUGCCUUCCUCUGGGCCUCAUGUUAUAUGAGAACAGUAUUGGGUGUACACUUAAAGCGUUCUGGGAAUAUGAAUCCCUUCUGCACCCUGGAAUCACCAGUCCAGCCAUGCAUGGAGCUGGGGAAAGCAGGCCCUGAAUUGUCUAGAGAGACUUGGUGGAGGAGGCCACGGCCCGCCUUGUCCCUGCCGGGUCCCAGCCAGGAUCUGAACGUCUAUGACACUCUUUCGAGCUGACACAGUGAAGAACAUGGAAGGAGAACUCACCCAGUCUGCCAGGGUCACAGAUGAUCAUACUCAAGAUCUUCCUGGGGAGUCAAUGGCAAAUUUCACUGGG
rnacentral:lncRNA from 1 species